rnacentral:rRNA from 2 species
UGGGGAAUAUUGCACAAUGGAGGAAACUCUGAUGCAGCGACGCCGCGUGAGGGAAGAAGGUCUUCGGAUUGUAAACCUCUGUUGUCAGGGACGAUAAUGACGGUACCUGACGAGGAAGCCACGGCUAACUACGUGCCAGCAGCCGCGGUAAAACGUAGGUGGCAAGCGUUGUCCGGAAUUACUGGGUGUAAAGGGAGCGCAGGCGGAUUUGCAAGUUGGAAGUGAAACUCAUGGGCUCAACCCAUGAACUGCUUUCAAAACUGCAGAUCUUGAGUGGUGUAGAGGUAGGCGGAAUUCCCGGUGUAGCGGUGGAAUGCGUAGAUAUCGGGAGGAACACCAGUGGCGAAGGCGGCCUACUGGGCACUAACUGACGCUGAGGCUCGAAAGCAUGGGUAGCAAACAGGAUUAGAUACCCUGGUAGUCCAUGCCGUAAACGAUGAUUACUAGGUGUGGGUGGAUUGACCCCAUCCGUGCCGCAGUUAACACAAUAAGUAAUCCACCUGGGGAGUACGACCGCAAGGUUGAAACUCAAAGGAAUUGACGGGGGCCCGCACAAGCAGUGGAGUAUGUGGUUUAAUUCGAAGCAACGCGAAGAACCUUACCAGGUCUUGACAUCCGAUGCAUAGCUAAGAGAUUAGUGAAGUCCUUCGGGACAUCGAGACAGGUGGUGCAUGGUUGUCGUCAGCUCGUGUCGUGAGAUGUUGGGUUAAGUCCCGCAACGAGCGCAACCCUUAUCGUUAGUUACUACGCAAGAGGACUCUAGCGAGACUGCCGUUGACAAAACGGAGGAAGGUGGGGACGACGUCAAAUCAUCAUGCCCCUUAUGACCUGGGCUACACACGUACUACAAUGGAUGUUAACAGAGGGAAGCAAGACAGCGAUGUGGAGCAAACCCCUAAAAACAUUCUCAGUUCAGAUUGCAGGCUGCAACCCGCCUGCAUGAAGAUGGAAUUGCUAGUAAUCGCGGAUCAGCAUGCCGCGGUGAAUACGUUCCC